rnacentral:rRNA from 1 species
UACGGGGGGGGCAAGCGUUGUUCGGAAUUACUGGGCGUAAAGGGCUCGUAGGCGGCCAACUAAGUCAGACGUGAAAUCCCUCGGCUUAACCGGGGAACUGCCUCUGAUACUGGGGAUCUUGAGUCCGGGAGAGGUGAGUGGAACUGCGAGUGUAGAGGUGAAAUUCGUAGAUAUUCGCAAGAACACCAGUGGCGAAGGCGGCUCACUGGCCCGGUACUGACGCUGAGGUGCGAAAGCGUGGGGAGCAAACAGG